rnacentral:rRNA from 1 species
UUGAACGCACCUUGCGCCCUUUGGCUAUUCCGAAGGGGCAUGCCUGUUUGAGUAUCAUGAACACCUCAACUCUCGUGGUUUGCCAUGAUGAGUUUGGACUUUGGGGGGUCUUGCUGGCUGCGGUCAACUCCUCUCGAAUAGAUCAGCUUGCCAGUGUUUGGUGGCAUCACAGGUGUGAUAACUAUCUACGCUUGUGGUUUUCCACCAGGUAACCUUCAGUGAUGGAGGUUCGCUGGAGCUCAUAAAUGUCCCUCCUCAGCGAGGACAGCUUCUUGAAUGUUCGAUCUCAAAUCAGGUAGGGCUACCCGCUGAACUUAAGCAUAUCAAUAAGCGGAGG